UAGGGUUUUUUUUUUUUUAACCAUUUUUAGUAUAUUCACUGUUCCCCAUCCAAUCUCUCAAAUUGCCUGUAAAAGAUGUUGUUAGCCUUACUUUGAUUACCUAAGGACAAACACUAGAAGGAAACAAUGGCUGAAAAUUUACAGUUCAUUUAAAAAAGGAAAACAUGAUAACAGACACUGUGAUUUAUGGAGUCUUACAAGCCUGCGGAGUCCUGGGAGCAGCAACAACAGCCUGUCACUCACAGCUGAAGGGCUGGCCUUAAACAGCGUCUAUAAUGCCUAAGACCGCUUUUCCACAUAGCAGAGCUAAUUUAUAAAACGGAGCAAGAUCUUUAAAUACGUAAGGAUACUUAUUCAACCACUUCUGACCUUUGGCAAGCUUGCUUUGUCUGAGAUCUAUUUUCACAGAUUAUAGGAUAAUAGACACUCCUGAGAUGUGAAUCGACACCUCCCGAUGAGAAUAACUGAAGGCGCGCGCGAACCCGUUUUUCCUCCCAUUAAGACAAGCACAACACUGAAUUAGGGACGGAGCAACAUAAUUAAUAUGAAAGUGGGGUCAGCUAACAACUUAGACAUUCAUUUUGUGGAAAAUAGGAAGUUGACAAGCACAGAGGUUACACAGCCAGUGAGCGUCUGUGAGUACUUCCCCGGAAGAGCUCCGAUAGAAACAUAAUGGGUCCGGCUUCUUUCUCUAGCUUCUUUCUUGGCACGGUUGUAGGCUCCUUCGUACACUUAGCUUCGGAGUCUAAAAGGAAUAGUUCAGUCAAGAGAGCUUUGCAGCUCCCAGGCAGACAGAACCAUUUCUGAAUUGCAGAAGCACUUAAUUCUUUCUCACUUUAGGUGUGAAAGCCACUUGGGCGACAGCCCAGGCAGGGUAUUGCAGACUAGGAGUGAAAAAACUCUUGGCCUCUGAAAAGAAACAGUAGGGGAGAAAAUAUUCAGUUACCAUUUACUAAGAGACCAAGAAAAAAAAUACUGCAUUUAGAAAAACUUGCUUCUGGCAACCACGCUUAAGACUCUCAAAUUUGGAAGUUAAACAUGGGGAAAUGUUCUAAACGGAUUGCGGCCUAUUUGUCUAUCGCUCUUUCUGAAGUGGCAAUCUGGGCGACUGGAAAGUACGAACACAUCUCUAUUCUGGUGCCGCUUGCGGAGCGCUGCAAGUUACAGAACGGAGAGGCUCUGUUGGGCUGCUGCUUAUAAAUAGGAAAAGCUUGGUUCAUGCCAUUGAGGGGGAGCGUCUGUUUGGUUGUUUUGCAUGUGUGUGAGGGCAGCUAGUGUGUAUGUAUGUGAUGGGACAGAUUGGCCGCUGUGAGCCAGCAAGUGGUAACAGAAGGAAGAGCGGGCCCGGUGAAUAACCACUCUCUAAUGCUCUCUGAAGAGUGAGGAUCUUUCCAGAGCCAGAAGUCCUCGUGACUGCCUCACACAAGUGUCUCUGGCUUCUGCAGGGGAACAGAGGAGGGCUCCAUAAUGUCCCAGAGCCCUAGAGUUGCCCGUAGCUACCUGGCAGAGGUGGUAGCCAUUUUACAAGACUACACAGAGAAACCCUGGCUUGAAAAACCAAGGUGGAAUUGAAAAGAGAGUAAAAUGAGUGGCAGCAUUUGCUGAGUAGGUCACUGUAUCUAUCACUCUGUCUCCAAACCUCCACAGUGACACUAUUACUGCCGUACACAUCAUACCACCUUGGCUUGUGUAGGUCCGCUCUGUGAUCUUCACUAAGUGGUACUGUCACCUAACUACAUGGCUCUCGAACUCUUACAUUUUGACUAUAUGUAGUUAGUGUUAGCAGGGAAAACCAAAGUUAGGAAAGCAAAGAGAUCAGUACAAACAAAUCUCUUUGCGUUCUUUAUCUCUUCCAGCUAGCAUUGCUCAGGGUUAUUGGCUUUGCUUUCGCCUCCUCUGAGGAAAAGUGCACUUUGAUUUGAGUUGCACCGGGAUUCUUACUGUGGAGAAAGACCAAUGAGCCUUUGCAGAUGGCUUGGGUGCUACUCAUGGGAGAGGGAACAGCAGUGACUGGCCAUCUCUGGCAGUUCUCUGGAGGCUAUCCAAGGUAACAGUCCUGGUUUACAAUGAAAUUAUUAGCCAUUUGUCAGCCUUCUGUGAGCUCUUUAGUCUCUAGAAGCAAAACAGCCUUCUGCAGGGUUUGCUGUUCUUCACUUUUCCCCUAGAAUCUUGCAGGUCAAGAGCAUAUCUAGCUCUUGGAAUGGAAUGUGUUUCCCGCUCUUUUCUAUCCAGUCCCUGGCUCAACUUAUAGGGAUGCAUCAGAGUUUAUCUUAUCUUAGUGUUUAGAUAAACCAGCAACUUCCCCAUGGUUUAGUGCUUCACGAACAUCACCAGAGAGAUGGUUUGAAGCUGAUGAAAUCAGCAAUAGCCAAUGAUUUCUAGCCUUCUAUCAGUUUUCUUUCUUUCACAAUAACUUGCUUAAAAACAAAACAAAACACUGUCCUGUUGUAUUAUAAGAUUGCUGUACACAAUCUUUCAGGAUCUUAGCUCAACUGGGUUGAACACAGCCAAACCCUUCAUUCUUACAGUUAGAUCAAGGAAGAACAGGGUUAUGGAACUGAGGAAGCUUUCACCAGGUUGUUGGUAGCCAACAAAUGAAUAAGCAAACGAGUAAAAAAGGCAAUAAGGUUUGCAAACUAAUUAAUUCAAAGGAGUCUUUCAUCUGUUUAAUGACAUCUGUAUAUGUUAGGAAUGUCUUUGUUAUAGUUGAUGGAGACAGCAGAUGGUUAAUAUUUGGUUUUAAUGAUCUAUUUGCCCUCCUCCUGUGCAAAUGAUCAACUGUAAAUGUGAUGUUUGCUGUCUCACUAUCAUAUACCUGCAUUGCCCAACUCAUUAGUGGAGAGGUUAUGAGAAUGUAAAAACAGAAGGGACUAGAAAGAAGAAAAUGAUUUGAUUUGCUGCAGAGCAAGCAAGCAAACAAGCAGAAGGGAGCCCAUUUGUGUGACUUGCGUGUGUGUUUGAGUGUGCAUGUGUGUGUAACUCUAUAUAUAUGUAUUUGGAUGUCUUUUAAAUAUAUAUAUUUAAUAUUGUAGAAAUUAUUUGCAUGCAGGUCAGUUGUGCUUUUUGCCAUCAUUUUAGUGCUUAGAGAUCUUUGGACAGAUUGUUAAUAUCAGAAGUUUUAACUUUUUGCAUGUGGAAAGUCGCUUAAGUUCUUUCUCAUCUAUCCUCCUCCACCAAAUCUCCUUCCAUCUCUUUGUUUUCCCUGCUUCCUCACAGCCUAAGCAAGGACCAGGUGAGACUGGCUUCUCUAACAUCUAACAUCAUACCCUAGGGAGUUCUACUUAUCACAGAGACCUAGAGGGGCUGACGGAAGAAUAUGUGGCAUUCCGUGACUUGAGAUGCAAUCUUCAGUACAGGGACAGUAAGCCACAAAGUCCAUAACUAAUACCAUGCAGAGUUCUGAGAACUAUUGCCCAAUCCUCACCUUUUAUUCAACUGCCUGGAAGGUUAAAGAACUGCACUCAGGCUACAUCAGAGAUGCACUCACUUGGGGGUGUGCGAGAGUUGAGUGGCUGAAGUGCUUAGGUAAGCGAAAACGCAGAUUCACUUGUAAAAGAUUUUGCUCUGAUAGUACGCAUGCAGGAGAGUCCUGCGAGAGCUGCUGUUCCCAGUUGGGCUAAGCCUCCAUUUUCUUAUUUAUGUUUGUGGCUGCAUAGGUAUUUGUAAGUCACCCACCAUUUGGAGCACUGCUGCAUGGAAUCUGAGAAACAUUCUCCCUUGUUGAAUAUUCGAAAUUCUCCUAAAUCUGUAGCUCUAGACCUGAUAUGAGAAGCUGUAGUUUUUGGUACAUAGCUGUAGAUCUUUUUUAAUGAAAUGGUGAAAGUAUCUAUUUUAUAUUUAUAUAGAGAUGAAAACAGUGUAUAAUUUUCAUCAGUGGUAAAUUUCAUCUAAUAUGUACAAUCCCAGCACAAUGUUUGAACAUGGUAUGUAAGAGAAUUUUACUGACAGGUCUAGUUGGCACUGCAUCAGCAGACAGAGUUCUUCAAUGAAAAUUAGAAAUAAAAAAACUCAACAAUGAUAUUUGAAGGAAAAUGCCUAUUUUGGCAUUGCUAUCAAUUGAGUAUAAAAUAUGUGAAAGUGUUGAUUGCAGCAUAAUUAGUGCUGCUGAAACAAAGACAAGAAAAUUAAAUUUUAUGGGCUAUAUUUGUAAAUUAAUAGGAAUUAUUUUACAGCUAUCAAGCGUCACUGGACCAUCAAGCAGACGAGCAGACAUGUACAAUAUAAUUAAGCCAAGUCGUUUUUGGAGAGGUAGAUGAAUAUCAUUCAUGCAAAACUGUAGCAUUAAGCAGGUUUUUUUUAUUUUAUCAUUCUGAAAUCAUAUGUUUAUGUGAGGAAAGGGAUAGAUGUCUGUUACUUAUGACUUCUCAGCUUUUUUUUUUAAUUCUGUAGUUAUUUAUAUUAACGUGGCCAUACAUUUUUACUUCUCUUCGCUUCUCCUCAUGUUUGCCGUCAUUGCCCGCUCCCUUCACUUACUAUUUUGUUCCUAUGCUAUAUCGAUUAUUUUUUUCUUUCUUCUUUGUCCUUAUAUCAAGUUCCUAAACAUGUACUAUUUCUUUAUUUAUAAAAAUUAAAUUAAAUGCAUAUCCGAACCAUCAUCUCUCUCAGAGAGCAAAAGAUUUCGUCUUUGCCACUAUGAGAAUGGAAUCCUCUAUUUUCUGGGGCCACAGGAGAAUCAGAAAGCUUAACCUGAAAUCAGGAGAGGGCUCUCUCACAUCAAAGCAUUAGCCUGAGUGUGGAAUUCCUGUGACUUGUAAGGCUGGGGACUCUCAGUCAGUGCUCAAGUUGGUAGCUUGUGAGUGGAUCCCAGGCUCCCCCAGGUCUGGCAUCCAUCUCCUGAGGUCCUCCUUAGAUGGGAGAGUUCACGUGGGGUUGCAACACCCAACCCCUAGCCAGUCAGGGGACAGUUUCUGUUUCUUGGAGUUUCCUGCAUUGUCCCUUCUCACUUCACUCCUGAGGCUUCAUCCUUGGAAAUUCCUUCAGGAAUCCUGCUCCUUUGCAAAACCACAUCCCUCAGACCAAUCCUGUAAAGGUAACUUCUGCUAUUAAGGGCCACAGACUCCUCCACAGCAAGGAACUAAACACAAAUACUUGGCUAUCUGCUGGGAAGAAAGAGAACAAAGAAACAGAAAAUUAAAAAAGAAAAAUUAAGACCAUUAUACAACACAGUAAGAUUUGUAUACCCAGAGAAAUAUCUGCUUAAUUCUGGAGAUCAAAGCGGUUUGGGGCUAAGAACCUGGAUCAGCUAAUUCUGAGCAAUUUUAAAUGUGAUGGAGAAGGCAACUCAGGAGUGCAUUAUUGGCCAGAAAGGAAGCCAUUGCACCCAACUGGUGUCUACCCACCUUCUACAGUGGCCACCACCCCAAACACAGAUAGGUAAGAUUUAAUGUGCUUGAAGAGCUCUUUCCUUUGGAUAUUCAUUUGUCAACAAAGAUUUGAUAGUCAUCUUUUAAUUGCUGGGCAAUUAAAAUUAAAAGAAAGAAAGAAAGAAAGAAAGAAAGAAAGAAAGAAAGAAAGAAAGAAAGAAAAGAAAUGAAGGAAAGAAAGAACAAAUGUACAGUGACGAGACACAGGUGUGUCCCAAAAACAUGCUGAGUAAAAAAUGUUUCUACAGAAGGUCAAGUACUGUCUGGUUCCAUUUACUUAGAAUUCUAGAUUAGGCUAGACUAAUCUAGGAGGGUUAGCCAGAACAAUGAUUGUCUGGGGAGAGCAGGAAUUAAAGAAAAAGAGUGGAGGAGCUGUCAGGGUUAAGGGAUGGCUUGAGUGAGCUCUGGCUUAGACAGGCAUGUGUACUCCAGAGGUCCUAUGAUGGUUACUUAAUAUCUGGGGAUUUUACUAUGUGUGCAUUUUACCCCUGAGUAAAUAAGCAAGAAGGGAAAGGGAGGGAGCAACACAAGAGGCAAGAGAGGAAAUAAAGAAGAAAAAGGGAGGAGGCAGGAAAGAAAAAGACAGAGACAGUGAGACUCACAGAGAGUACACCAAAUAUUGAACUUAAUUAUACAUUCUUGAUGGAGUUCUAAGUAUCACGGUAUACUAAUGUCCUCUUUGGGAUACAUGAAAAUGGCUAGGUGCAUUAAUGAAUAGAACAGAUCUGAAAUCGUGAAAAUAAGGUAGGUGUUAACUAUUGUAGAGUCUAGGAAGAGGCUCUCUGGAGUCACUUCAUAUGCCUUUAGAUUUAUCAAUGUUUUGAUGAUUUUUCUUAAAUUUUACUUAAAGUAUUAAGUAAAGAUUAUUUCAUAUUUAUUGAAGACCUGUAAUUUGUUGAUCAGUGUCAGGUGGACUGCCUCUAAUUUGGAAGACAAUAACUUAUGAACUUUUUUUUUCUCUUGCAAAUUAGGAAUUUGGUCAAAUAACUUCACCAAGACUCAGUGUUAGGUCUGUCUGUUUUCAGAAUCUACCCUGUGGGAUUAUCAAUUACAUAUGACUCUUGAGCCCUUGAAACAUGACUAAAGAACUGAGUUCAUAAUUUAUUUAAUUAUUUGUUCAUUUAUUUGUUUUUUGUUUUUUUGAUAGGUUUUCCUGUGUAGAAACUCCUUCUGUAGACUAUGGCAGCCUUAAAACUCACUCCCACCUGACUCUGCCUCCUGCAUGCUGGGGUUAAAGGCAUAUGCCACCAUGCCUGGUUAUACUUUAAUUUAAAUUUUAACUGCAAAACUGAUACUCAAUUCACUUAUUGGAAAACUCCAGGGGAGUGCUGGAUAAGUCACAGGUGUGUGUGUUAUAGCAGGGGUAAGUGAAUCUAUUUUUUUAACAGUACCUUUCCUUUAAUUUGAACAUCAAAUUAAAUGUUCUAGUGAAAACAGCAUUUGCACUUUGCUUCACUGUGAGUGUAAAACAGACAUAUUUGGAAUACAGCGAAGAACAGUAAAAUGCCUUAAUAAUUUAUAUUGAUAAAACGUUUAAGACUUUCGAUAGAUUGUGUUGUUUUCAAAUAUUAAAGUGUUUUUAUUGUGGCUGGAGAGAUGACCUAGAGGUUAAGGGCACUUAUUACUCUUGUUGAGAACCAGUGUUUGGUUCUCAACACCCACAUUUGGUGACUCACAUCUCCCUGUAACUCCAGCUCCAGGGAAUCUAUUUCGGAGGGAAUCAUGAUUCGGAGAGGAAUCAUGCCUCUCCGGGCAUGUACUAGUGUAUACACACACACAUACACACACACACACACACACACACACACACACACACUCACACACACUAUAUCUCUGUGGGCCAGAGUUGGAAGUUGGUCAGUACCCUUUCCAGUGUACCAGCACAAUGUCACUUUGAGCGAGUAGGUGUGGGUGGAGGGUGGAGUGGCUAUAUUCUGAGUCACUGGUAAACCUCCAAUAGCACUUACAUACACCAGGAACUACCCUUGUGACUCAGUACUUAUUAAUUCAUAAAGUCCUUACCACAACCCUAUUAAUGGGCGCUAUUAUUAUCCCAUCUUACACAGGAGAAACUGACAUACAGAAGCACACGCACAAAUAUUUAUUAGCAGUUAUGUCAAAGUAAAGGAAUUUCUGCAGCCAGAUAUUCUUGAAUUUUAAAUUUAAUAUCUUGGAAUUGUCUUUAAACAGCUUUAAUUUAGAGACUUGUUUUCUUUUCUUGUUUUUCUUUCUUCCUUUAUUCUUUCUUUGGUUUUUGAGACAGAGUUUCUGUGUUCUGGAAGACCCUUAGUAGACCAACUGGCCUCGAACAUACAGAGAUCAGCCUGCCUUUGCCUCCUGAGUGCUGAGAUUAGCACCACCCAGUUUAGAGAUUCAGCUGCAAGCGUUGUGACUUCUGAGAAUGUUGUCUUCUUAGGAUGCUGGCCCCGGUUUCUGGUACAGCAGUGCAAUUUGAAUCAUGUUUCUCUUUCCAGAACGUCAGUGCUUUUCUGAGCAAUGAAACUAGAUAACGAACCUACAAGGGUACAAUUGUGGCAGAGCAAAGGGCCUGUUAGAGGGGCCACUCUUGGGAACUCAACAGCUUCAUUCAGUACAGCAGGGCCACCUCUCCUAAAUGUCAUCCCUCUCAGUGGGCAAGCACAAAGCAAUGCAACUGUUUUCAUAGCAGAGAUUUGAAUGGCAGUCUGGAAGUCACGAGGAAUGGCUUUCUGUCUUGUUUUUUAUUUGUUUAUUUGUUUGUUUGCUUUUGUUUGUUUUCCAGAAAGCCACAGAGGGCAAGGUGACUUGCGCUCAAUAAGAGGCUGCAAAUCCCCUGUGUGUAAGCUCUGUUUAUUUUGAAUAAAGCACAAAUUGGCUUGUCUUCUAGAAACCACAACAGAGAAACACAAGUUAGUCCUCAGAAGUUACCUGAUCCUCUUUGGAUGGAAGGCAGUCUCCGACUUCUGUGCCAGAGACCAACACUCUCUUUUUACGAGAAUGUUUGAAAAGCUGAGAGACUGACAAGUGUGGGCGCCCCACCCAGUCCACUGACCUCCUUUGAGAAGUACUAACCUGAAUGGUACCUCUCCAGUACCCUGAACUUCUGACCCACAAUGGUCCUUGAAGCUGCCUGGAACUCAGACUCUGCCCAGCCCAGCCUCACUCAACGAAAUGCAGGUCAACUAGAAGCCACCUCCACAUCCAAACUGGGGAGAGAAAGGUCCUCCACACGUGUUCCACUGCCCCCUUCAGCUGAACCGGAUCAGGUAAAGUUUUAGUCUCUACAGUCCACUGCUGCGCCCCCCCCCCUCCACACGCCACCGCCUUUUGUUCUAAAUCAAGAUGGCAAAUUCCAAAGACUCAUUUGACUCUGUGUGAAUUACUCUUUAGUUCCAGACACUCCCAGCUCCCACUAGCAUGCUGAUGUCGUGGAGUGAAAGCAAGUUUGUUUUCACAUCUCUCUUCCAAGUUUAUAAUCUGGGUUUAUAAUUUUCUGCUAAAAGGCUAGGUGGCCGAAUUUGGCUGGUCAGAGCCCAUUUGGAACCCAUCACAUUUUAAUUUGUGAAUAAACACAAGGAGCCUGUGUCUCUCCUGGACAGAAACAGCUGAGCUGUUCUUGUCACAGGAGAUUGAGAUAUUGUAAAACUUGGGCUUUAAUCUCUUCCCCCUUUUGGCUGUCCUUGUCCCAGAGUCAGGCCUUUUAAAAUCUUGUUAAAUACAUUACAGCCUCUGUUUAUUCUAGGAACUCACUAAGAGGAGGUGUCAAUGAUGUAAACAUUACAUGAAAGUAAGGGCUGCAGAGAUGAAAAUGGUGCUUAAUGGAACAGCCUCACUAGGGGGAAACAGGCCCUGACACUGACCAGAGCUGGUCCCACAGGGAGCGGCUCCCUUUCCAGAAAAAAAAAGAAAAAAAGAAAAAGAAAAAAAAAGCUCAUACUGCCUUUUAGUAACCUUUAAAAACUAUCUAUGCUUGUUUACACAAAAGUGUUUCAAACCCUCUCCUGCUAUAAAUUGUGUAUGGCUCAGCCUGUGCAUUAGGACUCAUACUAAAUGUCUUUAUCUGGAAAGAUAAAAGAAAUAUUUACGAUUCCUCUGAAAUGUAUUUGCUUUUCCCAUGACUUUGGCUAAUAAUGUGGUCUCCUAAAAGGAGCCGCUUAAGACCGGCUGUUUAUCUUACAGCACAAACAGUAGCCUAAGGCCUCUGAUGUUUUCUGACAUCUAAAGUCUAAUGAAUAAUUAGGACUACCCUUAUCCCCACUUCUAAAAAAAAAACUCUUCUCUAAGAAGAGACUGGUUUAGGAAGUUUACCUUGUUCUUAAGGAGGGCCAUGGUGAAUUGUUUUGCUUUCCCAGUUUGGUUUCUUGAGUUCAUAUAUGAUUAAAGGAAAUACAAAUUAAAACCACAAUGUAAUUCCAGCAUAUAACACCAGACCUGAGUGUAUAAAUCUCAAUAGCAUCAAGUGUUAGUAAGGAUGUGUUGCAAAGAGAAAUUUCCUAUAAACUGGUAACAAUGUGACUUGGUGCAGAAACUUUGUACAAGCAAUUUCAUCUCUUAGAGUAGAACUCACGAACACUAUACAAUUGGCCAUUGCCCCUCUUAGCUAUAUGACUAGGACCUUAUUGCAUAGGCAUACUAUAGAAUUGAUACAAGGAUCUUUUCAUUAGUGUAGUUUCUAAUAGCAAAAUGCCCAGACAGAAACUCCAAACAAACCACCCUGUUACAGAGCAGCUAAUUAAGUGCUGUUGUGUUCAUAGAACAGAAUACAAUG